rnacentral:rRNA from 1 species
UACAGAGGUCUCAAGCGUUUGUUCGGAUUCAUUGGGCGUAAAGGGUGCGUAGGCGGCGCGGUAAGUCGGGUGUGAAAUCUCGGAGCUUAACUCCGAAACUGCAUUCGAUACUGCCGUGCUUGAGGACUGGAGAGGAGACUGGAAUUUACGGUGUAGCGGUGAAAUGCGCAGAUAUCAGGAGGAACACCAAUUGCGAAGGCAGCUCGCUGGGACGGUACUGACACUGGAGACGCGAAAGCCGUGGGGAGCGAACAGG